UCAUCUUAGUCCCCAUUCAUCUGUCCCUCUGCCUCCUCCGGUACCUGACUGGGAGCGGGUUUCAGGUGUGCUGCAGCUUCAUGAGCCUGGGCCCCAGCGCAGUGGGGAGGCCCUGUGGCUGAUACCUUCCCAGGCAUACCUGAACGUAGAGAAGGAUGAGGGCCGAACCCUGGAACAGAAGAGGAAUCUCUUGAGCUGUCUUCUUGUUCGUAUUCUCAAAGCCCAUGGGGAAAAGGGCCUCCACAUUGAUCAGCUGGUUUGUCUGGUGCUGGAGGCCUGGCAGAAGGGUCCAAAUCCUCCUGGAACCCUGGGCCACACUGUUGCUGGGGGUGUGGCCUGUACCAGUACAGAUGUCCUCUCUUGCAUCCUGCACCUCUUAGGCCAGGGCUACGUGAAACGGCGUGAUGACCGGCCCCAGAUCCUGAUGUAUGCUGCUCCAGAGCCCAUGGGGCCCUGCCGGGGUCAGGCAGAUGUCCCUUUCUGUGGCAGCCAGAGCAAAACCUCCAAGCCUAGCCCAGAAGCUGUGGCUACCCUGGCAUCUCUACAGUUGCCUGCAGGCCGCACCAUGAGCCCCCAGGAAGUAGAAGGGUUGAUGAAGCAGACGGUGUGUCAGGUGCAGGAGACGCUGAACUUAGAGCCAGAUGUCGCUCAGCACCUUUUGGCUCAUUCCCACUGGGGCGCUGAACAGCUGCUGCAGAGCUACAGUGAGGACCCUGAGCCACUGCUGCUGGCAGCUGGGCUGUGCGUACCCCAGGCCCAGGCUGUACCCGCACGGCCUGACCACUGCCCCGUCUGUGUGAGCCCCCUGGGGUGUGACGACGACCUGCCCUCUCUCUGCUGCAUGCACUAUUGCUGUAAGUCUUGCUGGAAUGAGUACCUGAC
rnacentral:sRNA from 1 species